CCCUUAGAUGUUCUGGGCUGCACACGUGCUACACUGGCUGGUUCAGCGAGCUUCAUGCCCUGAUCUGAAAGGAAUGGGAAAUCUUUUCAAAACCUGCCGUGCUUGGGAUAGAUGUUUGCAAUUAUUCAUCUUCAACGAGGAUUGCCUUGUAAGCGCACGUCAUCAGCGUGCAUUGAAUACGACCCUGUAUUCUGUACACACCGCCCGUCGCUCCUACCGAUUGAAGUUUUCGGUGAGUUGACAGGAGGAUUUUUUUGAAACUGGUUCGCCAGUGGAUUUUAGAUCCAAAUGCCAACGAAUCGAUGGCUUUAGAGGAAGGAGAAGUCGUAACA
rnacentral:rRNA from 1 species